UAAACUUUUAUUUUGAGCUUGAACCAUUAUCUGUGUUUGGGUCUAUUUCUUCAGCACUUAGCCAACUUUAACAAAUACACUCGAGGAGUGCCUUAGUAAUUGAAGUCGUGGGUCUGUUGGCCUAAUGCAUUCAUUCCUUUUUUUGUCUCUGGCAGUUGGUGAUUGAUUGAUCGUGGUCCAGCAUGCAGAAGCGAGUGAGUGGUGAAAAGCACCAGAGCUGAUGGAUUGUGAAGAUGUAUUUGAAGGCUGUCACACUGUCUACUUCAGGGUUUAUCCUUGGAGUUCAUUGAGCUUCUUGCAUGCAUAGAUUCAUGACUUUCAUCAAAUUUGGUUAUGCUCAGCUAUUGUUCUGACUGAGACUUCCAUGAACACUAGGAGUUGAAAAGAAAAAGAAAAAAAAUGAAAGAAAACAGGAAAAAGAAGCAAAGAAAAGGUAAGCAAUGAGAGGAAAAGUCCUCUGUGGUCUUUGCAGAUUGGGUCUGUCCUGCAACACUCCGUCAAUACUUAGGAAGGUUUACGCUGACCUAGAGAUCAACCCCAAGUGAACGUUAAAGGUGUUCUCAGGUCUUUUCUGGGUGAGCAUCUUAACCUAGGCGUUCGUAUGUCUUUUUAAAUUCCUCAGUAUACCUGGGUGUUUCUGAAUGCCCCAGCUUCCCAAAGAAGCUCUCUUUUUGGCCCCUGACCUUACCCCACAGCUUUCGAAUGUGUGUCUGAAUCUUCCUCUCUUAGCCCAGGACUUUCAGUGAGCCCGCUACUCCUCCACCUGUACUACG